CCCUUAGAUGUUCUGGGCCGCACGCGCGCUACACUGAUUCAUGCAACAAGUUUUGUCCUUGGCUGAUAGGCCUGGGUAAUCUUUGAACGUGAAUCGUGAUGGGGAUAGAUGAUUGCAAUUAUUCAUCUUCAACGAGGAAUUCCUAGUAAACGCAAGUCAUCAGCUUGCAUUGAUUACGUCCCUGCCCUUUGUACACACCGCCCGUCACACCUACCGAUUGAAUGGUCCGGUGAAAUCUUCGGAUCUGAGAGAUGUCUGAUUAAUUUCGGACGCCUUUUGGAAAAGUUGCUUAAACCUUNCNAUUUAGNGGAAGGUGAANUCGUANCA
rnacentral:rRNA from 1 species